GUGGAGGCCUGGGGAAUAAGAAGUAACAUGUGGCCUGCACGCCAUAGGAGAAAAAGCGAGCAUCAGCCGUAUCGGCUUUGUAACACAAAUUAGCUAUCGUGAAGUCCGCUCAGCUCUUCCAUUUCUACCCUGGCUGCUUUUUGCAGGGAUUGGUCCGUGGUCUCCAGUCUCUUGGGUUCUCACCCUGUGUGAAAAUCUUCGUGUUUUUCCCUACCCCCCAAGUCACCUCUUACACAGCCUCUGCUUCCAAGCGCAGCCCCCACAGGAGUUUGUAGGAUUUCUGUGCUAGCGGGGAGUGUGUUCUCACCUCAUAGAGCCAGGUAGAAAUUAUGCAGAUGGGCGCUGUUCUCUGGGAAGAAAGCAGGGCCUUUGGGGCUCUCAGUGUCCCCGUUGGGUUGUAGACAUAACACUCUUACUUUGCGUAGGGGAACGGCUCUGCCGGCCCCCAGGUGCCCUAGCGCAUAUGCAUGGAGGCCCGCAGGUCAGAACCGCAGUCUCACCUGUCUUGGCGGAAAUGCCCUGCGAUCCUCCCGGAGAUAGAAGGCGGGAAGUUUUAUGAGGAGCCGGUCCAG
rnacentral:lncRNA from 10 species